UACGUAGGGUGCGAGCGUUGCCCGGAUUUAUUGGGCGUAAAGGGCGCGUAGGCGGCUUGUUAAGUCGGCUGUGAAAGCCCGGGGCUCAACCCCGGAGGGUCAGCCGAUACUGGCAGGCUAGAGUACGGAAGAGGUAGCUGGAAUUCCCGGUGUAGCGGUGAAAUGCGCAGAUAUCGGGGAGAACACCCGUGGCGAAGGCGGCUCUCUGGGACGGUACUGACGCUGAGGCACGAAGGUCAGGGGAGCAAACGGG
rnacentral:rRNA from 1 species